rnacentral:piRNA from 1 species
UCUGUUCCAGUUGUUGGCGGUCGUAG